GACGAACGCUGGCGGCGUGCUUAAUACAUGCAAGUCGAACGGAAAGGCGCUGCUUUUGUGGGGUGCUCGAGUGGCGAAGGGGGGAGUAAAACGUGAGUAAACUGUCCUUGACUUUGGGAUAAAUUCAGGAGAAUGGGGCGAAUAUAGGAUAGGAGCUCCUGCUGCAUGGUGGGGGUUGGAGAGAUUCGGCGGUUGUGGAUGGUAUCGAGGCUUAUGAGCUUGUUGGUGGGGUAGUGGCGUACCAGGGUUGUGACGGGUAGCCGGCCUUAGAGGGUGGCCGGCCACAUUGGGACUGCGAUACGGCCCAGACUCCUACGGGAGGCAGCAGUGGGGAAUAUGACACAGUGGGCGGAAGCCUGAGGCAGCAACGCCGCGUGCGGAAUAACGGCCUUCGAGUUGUAAACCGCUUUCGCCUUUGACAAAGCGUGAUUGACGGUAAUGGGUAAAAAAGCACCGGCUAACUACGUG
rnacentral:rRNA from 1 species